GGGUCUAUGGCUCAGCCAGGUAGAGCAUCGGACUUUUAAUCCGGCUGUCGGGGGUUCGAAUCCCCCUAGACCCG
rnacentral:tRNA from 2 species